CGAGCGGUAACAUUUCUAGCUUGCUAGAAGAUGACGAGCGGCGGACGGGUGAGUAACGCGUAGGAAUCUGCCUAGUAGUGGGGGACAACAUGUGGAAACGCAUGCUAAUACCGCAUACGCCCUACGGGGGAAAGGAGGGGAUCUUCGGACCUUUCGCUAUUAGAUGAGCCUGCGUGAGAUUAGCUGGUUGGUGGGGUAAAGGCCUACCAAGGCGACGAUCUCUAGCUGGUCUGAGAGGAUGAUCAGCCACACUGGGACUGAGACACGGCCCAGACUCCUACGGGAGGCAGCAGUGGGGAAUAUUGGACAAUGGGCGCAAGCCUGAUCCAGCCAUGCCGCGUGUGUGAAGGAGGCCUUAGGGUUGUAAAGCACUUUCAGGAGUGAGGAAGGGCGUGCAGUUAAUACCUGUAUGUCUUGACGUUAACCCCAGAAGAAGCACCGGCUAACUCUGUGCCAGCAGCCGCGGUAAUACAGAGGGUGCGAGCGUUAAUCGGAAUUACUGGGCGUAUAGCGCGCGUAGGCGGUUUGGUUAGUCGGAUGUGAAAUCC
rnacentral:rRNA from 1 species